rnacentral:tRNA from 1 species
GGGGUUGUGGCUUAGAGGUAGAGCGCUCACCUAGUGAGUGUGAGGUGCUGGGUUUGAUCCUCAGCACCA